UGGGGAAUUUUGGACAAUGGGGGAAACCCUGAUCCAGCCAUCCCGCGUGUGCGAUGAAGGCCUUCGGGUUGUAAAGCACUUUUGUCAGGAAAGAAACGUCAUGGGUUAAUACCCCGUGAAACUGACGGUACCUGCAGAAUAAGCACCGGCUAACUACGUGCCAGCAGCCGCGGUAAUACGUAGGGUGCAAGCGUUAAUCGGAAUUACUGGGCGUAAAGCGUGCGCAGGCGGUUCGGAAAGAAAGAUGUGAAAUCCCAGAGCUCAACUUUGGAACUGCAUUUUUAACUACCGGGCUAGAGUGUGUCAGAGGGAGGUGGAAUUCCGCGUGUAGCAGUGAAACGCGUAGAUAUGCGGAGGAACACCGAUGGCGAAGGCAGCCUCCUGGGAUAACACUGACGCUCAUGCACGAAAGCGUGGGGAGCAAACAGG
rnacentral:rRNA from 1 species